AUGUGGACCUGUCUUCGUCAGCGCUAUGAGCCCUCUGGUGAUGCCUUAUACCUUUCUGUGGUUCGUCAGGAGCAUGCUCUUCAGCAGGGUGACUCUACUGUUGAUGACUUUUAUGCACAGAGUUCUGCUAUCUGGCGCCAGCUUGAUUCUCUCCGCAGUGCUGGUUGUCGUACUUGCCCCUGUUGCAAGGCUGUCCAGGCCAACUUGGAGUUUCAUCGCGUCUACGAGUUCCUGUCUCGGCUCCGUAAGGAGUUUGAGCCCCGGCGUGCUCAGUUGUUUGCUCAUGGCCGUAUUUCUCUCAUGAAGGCGCUUUCAGAGAUUCGUGCUGAGGAGACUCGCUUACGUGGUGCUGGUUUGCUGGAGGUUCCCUCUGUGCUCGCUACUCGGGUUUCUUCCACUCCAGCUGUUGCACCGCCCCAUUCUCGCUCGAGUGCUCCGCCGCUCUUGCCCACUCCUUCUGGAGGCUCAGGUCGCCCCCGUUCACAUUGUGACUACUGCAACAAUGAUGGUCAUAUUGGGUCCCAGUGCUACACAAAGCGGAAACACCUGCGCAAGGCGCGAUCAUCCUCCUCAGGGACUUCGUCAUCUCCCUCGACAGCUUCAGCCAUUGCUUUGACUGAGCAGGAUAUUCUGAGACUUAAGUGUCUGCUCGCGGCUUCAGGUUCUUCCUCGACGGGUACUGCUGGUUCUGUGACUGAUGCUUCCCGCACUGAGCACCCGCCCUCUACACAGUCAGGUACAUCCCCAUGGGUUCUGGACUCUGGAGCUUCUUUUCAUAUGUCUUCUCAUUCUUCCGCUUUGUCCUCUCUUCGAUCGCUGGAUUCUCCUGUUCAUGUCUUCACUGCUGAUGGUACUCCACUUUCUGUUGCUAGUAGAGGACAUCUUUCCACUCCUUAUUCUGUUCCUGAUGUUGUUCAUGUUCCUCGACUUACCAUGAAUCUGUUUUCUGCCGGUCAACUUACUGAUUCUGGUUGUCGUGUCAUCCUUGACGUUGACUCUUGUUCUGUCCAGGAUUGUCGCACGCACACUUGGGGCUGGCCCUCGCCGCCGUGA
rnacentral:rRNA from 1 species